GGCUGCAGGGAGGCACCGCUCCGGCUGGGUGGAAGUCCCCGCGGGGCUCCUCUCUCCUGCGCCGCCCCAUGCCCCAGCGCUUGCAGGCUCCCUGGUGCACACCACACGCUCAGAAACGCGGCUCGCUCCUUGGGCAUUUCCCUCGGUCACGUUCACACGGUCCUUGCCCCAUUGGCGGGGUGACCCGGGACGAGGUGCCCUGUGCAACUUGCCCUGGUGCAUUGGAUUCCUUCAGACGGUGGGUCAGCUAUAAAGUCCCCCUGGCACAGCAUUUGAAAUUAAGAAGAAGGUGCCAUUUUAAUGCUGUCUUCUGCUCUUCCGUCAGAGUGAGGAAUUCAUGGACCUGUUGAAAUGAUCAAACAACAUACUUAUUUCUGAAACACAUAAAAAUAUAUAUAAAGUGCAUGUGUUUGACGUUUCAUUGACCACAUAGCGGCACCCUGAACUGCAAGGAACAGGAAAAGACAAAGUAUUAAUUACAACAGAGUCCCCAACAUAUGAUGAUCACACAACGGUCUUCCAUGGACUCGAGUGAAGUGACUGGGAGCCCUGCUGCUGAUCUGACGUUCUCCUGCACAGACACCGACUCAGCUCAGAUCUUCACACGUUCACUCCUUCCACCCCACCCACACAAUGGAAUGAGAACAUCUGGCCCUCAGAAACGAUGCAACUGUUAAUUUUACAAAACAAGCGCAAUGCUAUUUACAGGAGAGACAAAGCCUUAGAGAAUGCUUCCAACUGGUGAAGAUGACUCACUGUGUAGGCAGCUAGUGUUAGAUCAGGCCAUUCUUUUCUUAGUUAAAAUUAAAUUUUCAUAUGUCUCUGAAAACAGACAAAUUAUGAAUACGCUGGGCCAAAUUCUGCACUCAAAUGCUCACAUUCAUUGCUCACUGAAAUCAGAAGAUGCAUGUGAGAAUCUGAGGGCUGAAUUUGACCCAAGAACUCUACCUAUUAACCUACAAGUUAUUUUUACUGGGUUUGCAUUUUGUACCUAAUAGAGAAAGAAAAAAAUAUUUAUGUCACAAUGCUUAAUAGGAGACUCAGCUAAGUUUUAAACUACUGAUUGGACAGUUGUGCUAAAUAUUACAAUGCUAGGUGUUAUAGAAAAACCAUUAAUAAACGAGAUAGACAGAAAUUA